ACACGCAUAUGUGUCCAGGUGCCUACGCAGGUGCCUGACCCUGGGCAAGUCGCUCCGUCAUGCGGACCUCAGUUUUCUCAUCUGUCCGACGAAGGAGAGAAACUGAGUCCGAGGGAUGUCAACAUGCCAAGUCCAUGGAAAUAUCAGUGGGCUGGAAUUCUAGCUGCCUGAAAGAAGACAUUCCUCACACAAGACCUCACAAUCAUAUCCAUGGAAUUAUAGCACUGGGCUCUCCAGAUGGUGCUACAGGAAGACCUCCAGAAAUUUGACAAUCCUCUAUUCAAGGCCCUACCACAGAGACACACAGGAACGGAACUCAGAAUCACAAACAAAGAAACUUUGAUCCAAGAAAGAAAAUGAUCUUUAAAAAGACCCUCGUUUCAUGCUGGCCGAUGCUGAGAAAAUCUGCUCUGAAGGAUAUUUGGAGACACUGAUUAAAAGAUGGUUGUCCCAGUGGAGGGGGAUUCUUCGUGUUACGUAGAUAGGAAGCACGAUGCAAAAGUGUUGAAGCAGGAGUGUAAAGAAUAAUUAAAACACCUGCCCAAGACCCAAGCAAGGAUAGGAUUUCCCAGACAUUCGUGAGGGAGAAAAUGCCAUGUCCUUUCCUUCUGGUGUCACAUCAGAAUCUGAAGGCUGCUAGAGAAGGGAGAGAAACAUGAAAGUGAGUCCCAUGCUGAUUGUUGUUGAAAUACCUGGAAAGAAACUGGCAAAGACUAUCCAAGGGAUGCUAAGACAUGUCCGAACUUACAAAACAGUAGAACCUGAAUAGGAAUUUGAAGUUGUCUAUACUCUCCUCAGCCACACCCUGCCAUUUUACAGAUUGUCUUCUCUGGGGAAGUUAGCUGUCAUGUUGUGAGGAUACUCAAGCAGUUUAUAAAGAGGUUCAUGUCGCAAGGAAUGGAGGCCUCCUGCCAACAGCCAUGUAAAGGAGCCAUCUAGGAAAUAGAUUCUCCAGCCCCAGUCAGACCUUCAGAUGAUUACAGCCCCUACCAACCUUCUGACUGCGGUGGAAGGAAGGUUCCGGAACCAGAACCACCCAGGUUAAUGUGGGUAAGUCUCAUCCAAUCCUUUGAAGGCCUGAAGAACAAAGAGUGAGGUUUCUGGAAGAAGAAAAUUUUACCUCAAGCCUGCAAUGUAGAAAUUCUGCUUGAGUUUCCCGCCUGCUGGCCUGCCCUGUGGAAUUCGGAGUCAAGAAGGAGUCUUGUAAGCAUUAACUGAGAUAGUAUAUGAAGAGUGCUUUUGCACCGAGUGAACCUUCAAUCAACUGUACUAGUUUGUAUGCCUGGAAGAGCUGCUAUAUGGGAUCAGAAAGAAAAAUAAGGUGCAUACGCCAGAAAAAAAA
rnacentral:lncRNA from 1 species